UGAGUUGUCAUUGAAGUGAAUGAUCUA
rnacentral:sRNA from 1 species